CAAUAGCGUAUAUUAAAGUUGUUGCGGUAAAAAGCUCGUAGUUGGAUUUCUGUCGAGAACAUGCGGUCACGAUUUUUGUCGUUGCAUCUGUGUUGGUCUUGGGCAUUGCCUCUUGGGGAACUAUUCGUAGCUGCUUCACUUGCGUGGAGUGGUAUUCAAGACUUUUACUUUUGAGGAAAUUAGAGUGUUUCAGGCAGGCUAGGCCGGAAUACAUUAGCAUGGAAUAAUGGAAUAGGACUACGGUCUCUUUGUUGGUUUGAGGGACUGCAGUAAUGAUUAAUAGGGAUAGUUGGGGGGCAUUAGUAUUUAAUUGUCAGAGGUGGAAUUCUCGGAUUUGUUAAAGACUAACUUAUGCGAAAGCAUUUGUCAAGGAUGUUUU
rnacentral:rRNA from 1 species